UUACGGCCACAUCACUUUGAAACAUUGGUCCCCAUACGAUCACCGAAGUUAAACAACAUCGAGUCUGGUCAGUACUUAUAUGGGUGACCACUCGAGUAUACCAAGUUCUGUA